UUGGCUCUUGAAAAGGCUAGUCUGUGUUAGGACUAACAAUCCAAUAUAUCGGCGACAUUAGACUAUAUAUGUGUGUGUGCGCGCGCCCGCGGUGGAAGCUAAGCAAGCCACAUCUGAUGAUCUACUGUGGUCUAUGCUACAUGUAGGCCAAAGCGUUUGCGUAUUUUGUAUGUGUGUAUUUUUGAUAAAUAGGUAAAAUGGUGACCACCCCCCGGAAGAGGUUGCACGACGCCCCUGGUUGUAUAUUUGUUUUUGAUAAGUAUGGGCAGACAUGCUGGCUACAAUGGUUUCCCACCUUGAGCAGCAUAGAACAAGCCUCGCUACGUUUUAACCAGUGACAGGCAAGCAUAGGUUUUAUACAGCCUGGCUCAGCGGAUGUUCUACAGUGGAGAGUUUUUUUUCUUCCCAACAGGUUCUAGCUGGAAGGAGGACAUUUUGUAUGGGAAGAGAGUGAUGAAAUGCAACUAAGUCAUAUAGAACACUCCUCCUGGCUCCUGUGUAAGCAUCCCCGUUUGACAGAAGGCAAAGGCUCUGUCCAGAAUUCUGCCCACCCUCGCUUGAAAUGUGUCCGGUCUCGCCACGGAACACCCACACCUCUGGAUUUUUCGGAUAACAACCGUCCCGUUCGACUUGGCCGCCGACGCCUGAGAAGACUGUGGGCACACAAAAGAUGCCGAGAUGCCUCUUCGGGGAGGGGGGAGGGCGCACGUGGACAGAGGACAAACCCCAAAUUUAAGGAAGCACUUUUGCAAAGGCAUUGUACAAUUACUGACAGUUUCAUUGUGGGUCUCCCUGCUGGUUUUGCAUACUGAGGCAGAAAGCUUUGUGAUUUAUAAGGAGGAGGGGGCAUUGUAUGUUUCCAUUAACAUCUAAUAUUAACAGACGUCUGAGUUCCAAACCAAUUAAGUAUUCUCUGC
rnacentral:lncRNA from 1 species